rnacentral:lncRNA from 10 species
AAACAUUCCUAAAGGAAGUAAUGCCUGAGGUUAGUUUUGACGGGUGAAGAGUUCAAAUAGACUUCAAAGAAAGUGGUGUCCCAGAAGCCAAGGAAAAAGAGAAUAUUUAAACAGAGAAAAACGCUGCAAGGCAGCAAGGUGAGCAACUAGUGAAGGCGUGGGGGGGGAAGGCACUGAAUUUGGCCCUUGGGAGGCAGUUGGCAGAUUACAGGGGGCUUUAGAAUGAAUGGGAAGUCGAAGAAAAACAAUGAUGAAGCAAGCCAUAUGAAAAUCCUUCUGAAGAACUAGGGAUGUGAAGGAACAGUUACAGUAGUUGCUGAAAGGGAGGAAGAGCUAAGGGGUGUAUGUGUUGAAUACUUUCAGGAGCAUCUGAGUGACUGCAGCUGAGAUGGAGGAGGAGGAAGCAGUAAGAAAGAAGCCGGCCCCUUGCUCAGCUCAUGGGGCUGGGGCAGGGGAUGCUUCAGGUGCCUUUGUCACCACAGGGAAAAAUGCCCACAACAACAUGCUGGCGAGACUGCAGAGAAAAGGGAAUGCGUAUACCCUGUUGGUGGGAAUGUAAAUGAGUUCAGCCCCUGUGGAGAGCAGUUUGGAGAUUUCUCAAAGAACGAAAACCUGAAUUACCAUUCAACCCAGCAAUCCCACUACUGGGUAUCAUCUACCCAAAGGAAAAUAAAUUGUUCUACCAAAAAGAUACCUGCAUUUGUAUGUUUAUCCAGCACUAUCCACAAUAGCAAAGACACAGAAUCAACCCAGGUGCCCAUCAACAGUGGAUUGGAUAAAGAAAAUGUGGUAUAUAUACACCAUGGAAUACUACACAGCCAUAAAAAAGAAUGAAAUCAUAUCCUUUGCAGUGACAUGGAAGCAGCUGGAGGCCAUUAUCCUAAGCAAAUUAAUGCAGGGGCAGAAAACCAAAUACCGCAUGUUCUCACUUAUAUGUGGGAGCUAAACCUUGAGUGCACAUGGACAUAAAAGGGGAACAAUUGACACUGGGGACUCCAAAAGGCAGGGGUGGGGGAAUUGAAAACCUUCCUAUUGGGUACUAUGCUCACUAUCUGGGUGACAGGGUCAACAGAAGCCUAAACCUCAGCAUCACACAAUAUACCCUUUAACAAACCUACACAUACACCCCCGAAUCUAAAAUUUAAAAAGUUCUUAAAACCAUAGAGUUCAAUAAAAACUUAAUACGAUACAGGAAAGAAGACCCUUCCCUAUAGUCAUCUAUGGCCUCUAGCAAAUCCCCCUGAAAGCAGUCUACUAGAGCCCUGAACCCUGCAAAAAAACUGGCCUCGGUCUCUGUCACAGGAAGAAGGUUGGGGAAGGAGUCAAGAGGGGAGGUUGGUUCACGCAGGCCUGGUUGGCUGAGGUUCCAAGUGCAAAAGCCAGGAGUUCAUCUGCUGCCUGAGGGCAAAGCAAAUCCUCAGGGGAGCUGCUCGGAGGAUGGAAGGUCAGAGCACAGAGGAACACCUAAAAUGACAAAUGAGGCUGAGGCCACAGAUGGCAACAGAGUCUGCUGGGGUAGCUACAGGGCUGUUCCCGGCUACGAGUGAGUCAAAAAGGAAGGGAGCCUGAGUGUAGGGCUGGGAAUGGGCCCAAAGGCUGGCUCAGUCCCCAAGGCCAGGGGAGCUCACACACCACCUGGCACAGCACUCCCCAGGCUGUUUUCCUGUUUCUCUGUCUAAGUGUUGGACUGAUGUCUGUCUCCCCAUUAGACUGCCACUCCUUGCAGGCAGGGGCAAAAUCACAUUGAAUCCUUGGCACCCAGCACAGCACAUGGCACACAGGAAGUGCUAUAAGGAUUCGCUGAAGAAGACAAUGUGCAGUAGAGCCUCUCUAGUAUUUCCAAAGAGAUGUCCCCAAUAUCUCAAGCUCAUGGUUUUUGCAACUUCCAUCAACCCAUCCUCAAAAUUAGCUCUUUAAAUCUUACACCUACCAUAGCCUCUCAUCUCUGUCCCCUCUUUUUCAUUCCCAGUCCUAUUUUAGUUGAGGCGUUUAUUGUAACAGUAACCUCCCACAGUGUACUGAAUGCAGCCUUCAUAUUGCUACCAGAUUAAUCUUCCAAAACCACUGUGCUCCUGAUGUCUUCAGUGGCUUCUUCUCACCUACAGAAUAAAGUCCUUCUAAUCAAGCUGGUAAAGACACUUUAGUUUGGGCCUAGCUAAAUUUAAUUCCCACUAAUACUCCAUAGUAUUAUGGCCUCAAACAAAUUCUGCAUUUUUCUUCUCUGUUCUUAUAUUCAUGAAAGCAUCUCUUUCCUAAUCCUAGAAAAAAACUCCUUCAUCCUUCAAGAUCUAUUUCAAGUGAUACCUCUCCUCCAGGAAGCCAUCCUGCCACCCCAACAAAAAUGACUUCUACCUCCUCAUAAUCCCGAUGGUGAUCACUUUACACUUCAUUUUGGCACUUGUCACAUAGAGCCUUGAUUUACAGUGACCUGGGUGUCUUACUGUCCUCUCUAGACUAAGUUCUUUGCAGCUAAGAUAGCGUCGUAUCCAUCCUAACAUCUGCCACAUCAGCUUACUCAAGGGUUUGUAGAGAACAGUGCUCAAAUAUAUGCUCACUAGGUGCUGGAAGUCAUAUAAAUUCUUCAGACGUACUUCAAUGAAGACAGUCCAUGUAAUGGCACUGAAAUCCAUACACUCUCAGGUCAUGAGAAACUGUGAGCCCUGAACUGGAUAUACCUAAACGAAAUGAAGUUAGUUAACCUCAUUCAUGUUUUUUGGACUUAAAAAAUAAGUGCUCUUGGCUGGGUGUGGUGGCUCAUGCCUGCAAUCCAGCACUUUGGGAGGCCAAGGCAGGCGGAUCACCUGAGGUCAGGAGUUUGAGACCAGCCUGGCCAAGAUGGUGAAGCCCCAUCUCUACUAAAAAUACAAAAAAUUAGCCAGUUGUGGUGGUGUGUGCCUGUAAUCCUAGCUACUCGGGAGGCUGAGGCAGGCGAAUCACUUGAACCUGGGAGGGGGAGGUUGCAGUGAGCCGAGAUCGGGCCAUUGCACUUCAGACUAGACAACAUGAGCGAGACUCCGUCUCAAAAAAGAAAAAUUAUAUAGAAGAUGGCAAAAUAGGAAUUAUAAACGUUUUAGACAAAUUAAACUAUAAAUUAAUAACCUACAUAAUGUAACUAAGUUUUAUUAUAUAGUGAAUAAAGUAUUCAGUCUGCAGUCUUUCACUUCACUUAUCCAGUCAUGAACAAAGGUACUUUGUAGAUGGCCUUAAAUGAUGUAGGCUCCAUUUUUCCAAAAUAAAUUCAAAUGCUUACCUGUAUGUGCAAUUUCAUCCACUCAAACUUCACUAGAGCAUCUAGUAAUUAAUAACAACAUGAUGAAUAUUUCUGCCCUGCUAAAGGUGACACUUUUGUUGAAGUGCUGGAGAAAUGAGAAUAUUUGCAGAUCAAAUGAGACCUCCUAAUAAGUUUAUUUUCAAAACAUAUCACAGGCUGGGCACGGUGGCUCAUGUCAGUAAUCCCAGCACUUCAGCAGGCCAAGGUGCGUGGAUCACGAGGCCCAGAGUUCAAGAUCGGCCUGGCCAAGAUGGUGAAACCCUGUCUCUACUAAAAAUAUAAAAAUUAGCUAGCCGUGGUGGCACACGCCUAUAAUCCCAGCUACUUGGGAGGCUGAGGCAGAGAAUCGCUUGAACUUGGGAGGCGGACAUUGCAGUGAGCUGAGAUCGUGCCACUGCACUCCAGCCUGGGUGACACAGUGAGACUCUGUCUCAAAAAAAUUAAUUAAUCAAUUAAAACAAAUGUAAAGCCACCAUUUUUACCUGAGCUACCUUCAUCAUCUUCAACUCAAAUUUCUCCUUCCAAGAGACACAUCCAAUUGUAUUUAUACAGAUGCUGCUAAAGUGUUUUAUUCACACAAAACUUGAAGACAUUUCUCAAACAAAAAAAAGUCCAUUUUACUUUUAUAAAAA